UGCCCGGUGGUGUAACGGUAGCACGAGUGACUCUGGAUCACUUAGUCUAGGUUCGAAUCCUAGCCGGGCAA
rnacentral:tRNA from 2 species